GAGUAAUGGACCUAUGAAGUCUAUUCUCCGCACAUCAAAUAGCUCUAUUUCAAGUAUACCGUGCAGUGGCAUUUUAUUCCUCCUUGAGAUAUUUCAUGUUCUUUGGCAUUGAUCACAUGUCAGCACAAAGGAUCGCACAUCUUUGAACAGAUUUGGCCAGUAGAACCCUGCUGGUAAAAUUUUAGCUGCUGUUUUUGUUGUGCUAAAAUGUCCUCCAUAAGGUGAUGAGUGGCAGUGUUGCAGAAUACUCUUUUAUUUCCUCCUCUGGUGUGCAUCUUCUUAUCAGGCCAUCAUAACAUCUCUUGUACAGCAGAGAUUCCUCCCAUGUGUAGUAUCUCACAUCAUGCAGGGAUUUCUUCCUUUGCUGGUAGGACAUGUUGGGUGGCAAAACUCUACACACAAGGUCGAAUUCCUGCAGAAGUAGAAUCUAUUGGAUCAACCUUGGUUUUGCUUCUUUCUUGUUUAGGAGGUGCCUAAUGGCAGCAUGGUCUGUGUAGAUGAUAGCAUUGGAGCCAACUAGGGUCCCG
rnacentral:misc_RNA from 1 species